rnacentral:pre_miRNA from 1 species
AGUAGAAUUUUUGGAUUAUAUGGUAAUUCUAUUUUACAUUUCUUGAGGAAUCUCCAUACUGUUUUCCAUGGUGGCUGCACCAUUUGAUAUUUUCUCCAACAGU